rnacentral:rRNA from 1 species
UGCGUAGGCGGAAUAAUAAGUCAGUGGUGAAAUCCUGCAGCUUAACUGUAGAACUGCCAUUGAUACUGUUAUUCUUGAAUAUAGUUGAGGUAGGCGGAAUGUGUAAUGUAGCGGUGAAAUGCAUAGAUAUUACACAGAACACCGAUUGCGUAGGCAGCUUACUAAGCUAUUAUUGACGCUGAGGCACGAAAGCGUGGGGAUCGAACAGGAUUAGAUACCCUGGUAGUCC